rnacentral:ncRNA from 1 species
AGAACCUGAAGCUGGCACACCGCAACCCGGUGGUGUUUCGCUCGCUGCUGGGCAUCAGCUGGAUGUGGUUCGUCGGCUCGGUCAUGAUGAGCCAGUUUCCCAGCAUCGCCAAGGAUGUACUG